rfam:Eutrema salsugineum unplaced genomic scaffold scaffold_2, whole genome shotgun sequence.
AUCUUUGCGCUUGGGGUAAUGACGCUGAGGUACUAACCGAGGUGCGUAUAUUACUGGUUGAAAACUAUUUCCAAACCUCCUUCUAGUCCUAAGCUUGUCUUGGGCCUUCGGGGAUUUCUGGAAGGGUUCCCUUUGGGGUAAAACC